ACGAAUGACUUGAGACCAGUCAUCCUCCUAAUUAAGUAGAUAUAGUGCAUGAUGGUUUUUACGGAUCGUCAAUAAUGUUGAGUUGAGUGAUCCUAUGACUAGGAACAUGUUAGGGUAUGAGCUUGAGAGGAAGGGUCUCAUGGAUCUAACUUCUUUAGAACACUGUCCUCGUCUCAUAGCCCAAUGGACUUAUCAUUCAACAUGUUCAACAUAUAUAGCUGUCAAUACUACACUUGUAAACAUAUACUUAAAGUCCACACCAUUCUUGAGAUAAGCUUCAAUACAUAUCUUUCAAUACACGGGUGUUCAGAUACCAUGUCGACCACAACAACGAUAAACCAGC
rnacentral:lncRNA from 1 species